UUUAAUAUGGCAAGAAAAAGUGCAAUGAAUUUUA
rnacentral:tRNA from 1 species